UACGGAGGGUGCAAGCGUUGUCCGGAUUUAUUGGGUUUAAAGGGUGCGUAGGCGGCAGAUUAAGUCAGCGGUGAAAUUCCACAGCUCAACUGUGGAACUGCCAUUGAUACUGGUUUGCUUGAGUACAGAUGAGGUAGGCGGAAUGUGUCAUGUAGCGGUGAAAUGCUUAGAUAUGACACAGAACACCGAUUGCGUAGGCAGCUUACUAAACUGUAACUGACGCUGAGGCACGAAAGCGUGGGGAGCAAACAGG
rnacentral:rRNA from 1 species